AGCUUUGUGCAGUGGCAGUAUCAUAGCCAAUGAGGUUUAUCCAAGACAUGAUAAUUGCUAACUGCAAACAGUAUG
rnacentral:snRNA from 1 species